rnacentral:rRNA from 1 species
GAUCCUGGCUCAGAGCGAACGCUGGCGGCGUGCUUAACACAUGCAAGUCGAACGUGAACGGGCUUCGGCCCUAGUAAAGUGGCGUACGGGUGAGUAACACGUAGGUAAUCUACCCUAGAGUCUGGAAUAACCUGCCGAAAGGCGGGCUAAUACUGGAUAGAGCGAAGAAACUCGUGAUUGAGUUUUUCGGGAAAGGGAGCUUGUAAGAGCCCUCGCUUUAGGAUGAGCCUGCGUCCCAUUAGCUAGUUGGUAGGGUAA